rnacentral:rRNA from 1 species
CUGCUGCCUUCCGUAGGAGUUUGGACCGUGUCUCAGUUCCAAUGUGGGGGACCUUCCUCUCAGAACCCCUACGCAUCGUCGCCACGGUGGGCCGUUACCCCGCCGUCUAGCUAAUGCGCCGCAUGCCCAUCCUCUUCCGAUGAAUCUUUCCUCGAUCUCGGAUGCCCGAAACCGAUAUACGCGGGAUUAGCCUCCCUUUCGGAAGGUUGUCCCCCUGAAGAGGGCAGGUUGCAUACGUGUUACUCACCCGUGCGCCGGUCGCCGG